GCUGAACGCUGGCGGCGUGCCUAAUACAUGCAAGUCGAGCGAAUAGAUCAGGAGCUUGCUCCUUUGACGUCAGCGGCGGAAGGGUGAGUAACAUGUGGAUAACCUACCUAUAUGUUUGGGAUAAUCUCGGGAAACAGGAGCUAAUACCGGUCAAUAUCUUCAACCGCACGGUUCAUUAGUGAAAGUUGGUUCUGGUGACACUUAUAGAUGGAUCCGCGCCGCAUCAGCUAGUUGGUGAGGCAACGUCUUACCAAGGCAACGAUGCGUAGCCGACCUGAGAGGGUGAUCAGCCACGCUGGAGCUGAGGCACGGUCCAGACUCCUGCGGGAGACAGCAGUAGGGAAUCUUCCGCAGUGGACGAGGGCCUGACCAAGCGACGCCGCCUGGGUAAUGAAGGUCUUCGGAUCGUAAAACUCUGUUAUUGGGAAAUGGCGAGUGUGUAAGUAGCUAUGCGCGUCUUGAGGGUACCUAAUCAGGAAACCACGGCAGUCUACGGG
rnacentral:rRNA from 1 species